GGGUUAACAGCUGAAAGAGCAGCAUCUCUGGAUGGAGAUUGUAGUUAUCUUGAGCUGUUAGUGGUUAUUGGAAGGGAGGGAGAAGAAUGAAUGAGAACACAGGAAAACUGGAAGAUGGAAAUAAGGCCCGUAUUCCUCAAGAUCAUGAACUCAACCAGGGAAUGGACACUAGAGCCUGGGAUGCCUCCAGUCUUAACCCUCCUAAUGAUCUCCUCUGCAUUGAGAGUGCUCUUCAAGGUCUGCUGUACUGAAGAUAGAUGGAAGACAGUGCUGAAACCAGAAGCACCAAAAGGCAACCAGCAUGUCAGGAGAAAAAAUAAACUUAUUUUUCCUUUAUGAACUUAAGUAGAAAAGUUUCAGACACCUUGUAUAUCUUGUAUUUCCCAUUAUGCUGUUCUCAUCCUGAAGAAGCUGUUACUGUGCUGUGAGACCCUGAGAUGGGGCAAGGAAACACA